rnacentral:rRNA from 1 species
UACGAAGGGGGCUAGCGUUGCUCGGAAUCACUGGGCGUAAAGCGCACGUAGGCGGAUCUUUAAGUCAGGGGUGAAAUCCUGGAGCUCAACUCCAGAACUGCCUUUGAUACUGGGGAUCUCGAGUCCGGGAGAGGUGAGUGGAACUCCGAGUGUAGAGGUGAAAUUCGUAGAUAUUCGGAAGAACACCAGUGGCGAAGGCGGCUCACUGGCCCGGUACUGACGCUCAGGUGCGAAAGCGUGGGGAGCAAACAGG